CCUACGGGUGGCAGCAGUGGGGAAUAUUGGACAAUGGGCGAAAGCCUGAUCCAGCCAUGCCGCGUGUGUGAAGAAGGCCUUCGGGUUGUAAAGCACUUUCAGUGGGGAAGAAAGCCUUGGGGCUAAUACCCUCGAGGAAGGACAUCACCCACAGAAGAAGCACCGGCUAACUCCGUGCCAGCAGCCGCGGUAAUACGGAGGGUGCGAGCGUUAAUCGGAAUUACUGGGCGUAAAGCGCGCGUAGGCGGUCUGAUAAGCCGGUUGUGAAAGCCCCGGGCUCAACCUGGGAACGGCAUCCGGAACUGUCAGGCUAGAGUGCAGGAGAGGUAGGCAGAAUUCCCGGUGUAGCGGUGAAAUGCGUAGAGAUCGGGAAGAAUACCAGUGGCGAAGGCGGCCUUCUGGACUGACACUGACGCUGAGGUGCGAAAGCGUGGGUAGCAAACAGGAUUAGAUACCCCAGUAGUC
rnacentral:rRNA from 1 species